GACUUAGUAGCUAAGUGGAUAAUGUGAUGGCGUUUAAAGCGAACGGUACUGGGUUCGAGUCCCAGAGUGCA
rnacentral:tRNA from 1 species